GACGAACGCUGGCGGCGUGCUUAACACAUGCAAGUCGAACGAAGAGCGAUGGAAGCUUGCUUCUAUCAAUCUUAGUGGCGAACGGGUGAGUAACGCGUAAUCAACCUGCCCUUCAGAGGGGGACAACAGUUGGAAACGACUGCUAAUACCGCAUACGAUCUAAUCUCGGCAUCGAGGAUAGAUGAAAGGUGGCCUCUACAUGUAAGCUAUCACUGAAGGAGGGGAUUGCGUCUGAUUAGCUAGUUGGAGGGGUAACGGCCCACCAAGGCGAUGAUCAGUAGCCGGUCUGAGAGGAUGAACGGCCACAUUGGGACUGAGACACGGCCCAGACUCCUACGGGAAGCAGCAGUGGGGAAUCUUCCGCAAUGGACGAAAGUCUGACGGGGCAACGCCGCGUGAGGGAUGACGGCCUUCGGGUUGUAAAGCUCUGUUAAUCGGGACGAAAGGCCUUCUUGCGAAUAGUGAGAAGGAUUGACGGUACCGGAAUAGAAAGCCACGGCUAACUACGUG
rnacentral:rRNA from 1 species